CCGUCGGUUGGCACUUUUCGUCCUUUCUGGCCAUUUGUGAGUCCCGAAGGAGAAGGACGUCAGGGACUCAACGACGG
rnacentral:sRNA from 12 species